UCGGCUCACGUGUCUCUGCAGCCGGCUCGGGUGGGAAGUACCUUAGCAGAUUUUAGAUAAAGUCUUGAAGAAGAAAUUGGGGCCAGAGAGGGAAGUGAGGAAAAUCAGAUCCUAGAUCUUCAAGAAGGAGCUGUAAGGACAACACACCCUCCACCAUAGCCCAUCAGGCAGAAGGAGAAGGUUGCAUAAGAGGAAGCCUGUGGCAUCUGAUCUUUCUGGACUUGGAGCCAGCAGUAGAGAUAUUUCCUCUGGAGCUGUGUCCCUUGGUUGCAUGCUUGGUUGAGAAGAGCCAGAGCUCACAGGCCUCCUAGAAUAACAGCCCCAAACAGGCUAGUGCCGCCCUCCAGCUGCCCAGGGGAUGUGGUUGUGAGGCAGAAUCCACAGACCCCGUGGGAAGAGGGCUCUGAGUGCCAUGGCCCAGGUCAGCAUCAACAAUGACCUUGGCGAGUGGGGUCUGAGCACAGACUCUGGGGAGCGGGCCCGUCUGCUGCAGAGUCCCUGUGUGGACACAGCCCCCAAGAGUGAAGGGGAGGCGUCUCUUGAGAGUCUGGGCAGAGGCACCACUUCCACAAUUGGGGCCAUCUUCAUCGUCGUCAAUGCCUGCCUGGGUGCAGGGCUGCUCAACUUCCCGGCGGCCUUCAGCACUGCAGGGGGCGUGGCAGCCGGCAUCACACUGCAGAUGGGCAUGCUGGUCUUCAUCAUCAGCGGCCUCGUCAUCCUGGCCUACUGCUCCCAGGCCAGCAAUGAGAGGACCUACCAGGAGGUGGUGUGGGCUGUGUGUGGCAAACUGACAGGCGUGCUGUGUGAGGUGACCAUUGCCAUUUACACUUUCGGCACCUGCAUCGCCUUCCUCAUCAUCAUCGGGGACCAACAAGACAAGAUUAUAGCUGUGAUGGCAAAGGAGCCUGAGGGGGCCGGCAGCAGCUCCUGGUACACAGACCGAAAGUUCACUAUCAGCCUCACUGCCUUCCUCUUCAUCCUGCCCCUUUCCAUCCCCAGAGAGAUCGGCUUCCAGAAGUAUGCCAGCUUCUUGAGCGUCGUGGGCACCUGGUACGUCACUGCCAUCAUUAUCAUCAAAUAUAUCUGGCCAGAUAAAGAGAUGACCCCAGGGGACAUCCUGACUAGGCCAGCUUCCUGGGUCGCCGUGUUCAAUGCUAUGCCCACCAUCUGCUUUGGAUUUCAGUGCCACGUGAGCAGUGUGCCGGUCUUCAAUAGCAUGCGGCAGCCCAAGGUGAAGACCUGGGGUGGGGUGGUGACAGCUGCCAUGGUCAUAGCCCUCGCUGUCUACAUGGGCACAGGCAUCUGUGGCUUCCUGACCUUUGGAGCUGCUGUGGACCCCGAUGUGCUCCUGUCCUACCCCUCGGAGGACAUGGCUGUGGCUGUUGCCCGUGCCUUCAUCAUCCUGAGCGUGCUCACCUCCUACCCCAUCCUGCACUUCUGUGGGCGGGCGGUGAUCGAGGGCCUGUGGCUGCGCUACCAGGGGAUGCCCGUGGAGGAGGACGUGGGGCGGGAGCGGCGGCGACGCGUGCUCCAGACUCUGGUCUGGUUCCUGCUCACCCUGCUGCUGGCACUCUUCAUCCCUGACAUCGGCAAGGUCAUCUCAGUCAUCGGAGGCCUGGCUGCCUGCUUCAUCUUUGUCUUCCCAGGGAUCCGGCUGGUUCAGCCCAUUACAGCCCAGAGAGUGCCAGGGUCUGGCGGCAGCACCCGGAUACAGAAGUCGGGAGACCCAAGUUUCAGACACAAGUCUGCCACCGGAUCCCCAAGAAGUGCUCCCACCUGCCCAGCCAUGAGUUCUGCCUGUACCCAGCUUAUUUCUCUCUAGGAGACCAACUUGAAAGUCCUUGCCACUUUGCAAGGAGCAGGGGGGGCCACAUCUGCUCAGAAGUGCCCUGGGAAGGGCCCUCGGGGUGGUGGGGGCUACUGCUGAAUCCCCUUCCGUGGCUGCCCCUUUGGCUCUGGGGCUCGCCUGCAGCCCAAGGAGAGCCUGUCAGAUGCUGGCCUCUCACGGGAGAGCAGAUCCAAGGCCUCCGACUGCACGUGGAGUGGGGCAGAGGGCUCUGCCUCAUUCAAGCCAAACUCUCGGAGAUGGAAGAAGUCAAGCCAGCCAGCUGGUGGGCGCUGGUCAGUUAUGGUGUCCUCUUGGUCACCCUGGGAGCCUUCAUCUUCGGCCAGACCACAGCCAACGCCAUCUUUGUGGAUCUCUUGGCAUAACCGCUGCCUCCCAGGCAACACAUGGCCUUUGCCACUGGACCCAGGAGCCCAUCUCUUAGAGUUGUGGGGUCACCUUGAGUCCAGCAUCAUUCCCAACUGCUGGUAGGAUGACAUCUGGACAUCCUUUUCCAAGAACGGUUCUGGAGUAAAAUCAGGCCUCACACCUCUGGAUGGCUCAGACCCAGCUCCCCCUGCUCUCCAGUCCCGGCAGUUCCACGAUGGAGGGAGGAGGUCUUGUAUCACAGAAGAAUCUUCUCUGUCCUUCAACUCUCAACUUCUCCACCCCUGAAAAGCAUGGGUGAGGAGGAUCAAAACAUCUCAGAAAAAAGACCGCAGCCUGACUUUCCUUUGGAGAAAGUAUGGGCAAAGGGCCACUCAACAGAGCACCCUGUCCUGAGCAGGACCUGUGCUCAUUAUCCCGGGACUCAGUGCCUGCUCCAGUUGGGCAGCCGCUUGGCCAGCCGUGACUUCUCUGGGAUCUGGCAAUUUCCAAAGGUAGCACAAAAGUCAUAUAGACGCAGACGCACAGAGGUAGAUAGAGUCAUGCCUUGUCCACCCCCAGCCUGGGUCCAAAGUGAACCUGUAGACCUCUUUUCCGUGGCUAUUUGACAUCUCCCAAGACUUUGAGGCCUCACCCUCUUUCCCCAAAGCUGAGGGUCCAGGCAUCCCUCUCCUCCUCCAUCUCCAGACAUCAUCAAGUCUAAUGUUUACAAACGGUGCCAGCCCGGCUCUGACCCAAAGGACAGGGGCCGUCCCGUGCCACCACGGUGCUGUGAGUACUCCUCAGUUAGCUUUCCCCUUGGCAGGAAGUCUGUUUAUCUCACUCAGAUUCCAGAUGGGCCCCUCGUUUCUGUGGCACAGGGUGGGUAAGAGAGAAGGCUGGGAAUCUUUCAAACCCACACAGGUUGGGUCAGUCAGGGUCCAGGUGAGCCUCUCUGUUACCUUCUCUUUCAGUGACUGCUUCUCUCUGCCUGCCCUCUGCUCCCCUCUCCCCUGGCAACCCCAGCAGGAUAGCCCACAGAGAAGAAGAGCAGCCGAGUUGUCACUGACUGGGCAGCACUUGAGUGUAGUCACGCCGGUCUGGAAGUUUCCCUUCUGGCCCAGAUCUUGUCUGCUCCCUCCCCCCAGCAUUUCUUCAGCCCCUCCCCCAGUUUUCUAGUUCAGUCUCUCCUGCUCAUGUAACACUGGGGCAGGAGGUGUGCCCAACCCUCUCGUGUCAGCUUCCUCAGCUCCACAAGCCCACCAGACCUGGCCUCAAUGACCCGACACCGAGGUCACACGUGGGUUGUACCCCAGGUGGGGUGAGGAGGGACACUCUUCUCCCAUUCUCAAUUCCCAGUUUUCCCUCCUUGGCUGUUCACUUUGACCAAUGCCAGGCAUUGAAUCAGGCCUCUUCCACCUGGAACUCCUAGAAUUUCCUUGGCCCUGCCUGCCCCAAACCUCUGUACCAAGGGUGAGAGGGACCCCCACCCCACAGCCCUCCACUCAGGGCAGUGAGACCACAGAAGCAGAGACUGGCCGCGGCCAGAUGGGCUUCUGCUCAGGUCCCGGAUUGGAUGACUCACCUUUCUUCACAUCCCUCAGCCCCUCAGCCCCUGGAGCCAGACCCCCUGUGCUGUUUUCUCUCCGCCCCCUGCACAGCACCAGGUCCUUUCAGUGUGCAUCCAUGCUCAGUCAAGGGAUGGGGGUGUAAGGGGAGUCCUCGCACAGAAACAGACCCAUCAGAAAAAGGAGCUGGAAUCUGGCCACGUGGCCUAAGCUCAGGAGCCCCCUGCCCUGCCCUCCCAGCCAGGGUAUUUUACUGUUUCUUUUCUACUUGUGCACAUUCAUACCAGAGAGGAUGGCUAAUAAAAAGAGACUGUGCUGCUGA